rnacentral:rRNA from 1 species
AUUUUUACAAUGAAGAGUUUGAUCCUGGCUCAGGAUGAACGCUAGCUACAGGCUUAACACAUGCAAGUCG